rnacentral:rRNA from 1 species
GACGAACGCUGGCGGCGUGCUUAACACAUGCAAGUCGAACGGAAAGGCCCCUUUGGGGGUACUCGAGUGGCGAACGGGUGAGUAACACGUGAGUAACCUGCCCUUGACUUCGGGAUAACUUCAGGAAACUGGGGCUAAUACCGGAUAGGAAUCCUUGCUGCAUGGUGGGGGUUGGAAAGCUUCGGCGGUUUUGGAUGGACUCGCGGCUUAUCAGCUUGUUGGUGGGGUAGUGGCUUACCAAGGCUUUGACGGGUAGCCGGCCUGAGAGGGCGACCGGCCACAUUGGGACUGAGAUACGGCCCAGACUCCUACGGGAGGCAGCAGUGGGGAAUAUUGCACAAUGGGCGGAAGCCUGAUGAAGCAACGCCGCGUGAGGGAUGACGGCCUUCGGGUUGUAAACCGCUUUCAGCAGGGGCGAAGCUUGUGGUGACGGUACCUGCAGAAGAAGCACCGGCUAACUACGUG